GGGCUCUGGGGGAAAAGGCGGUGGGCUGCAGGGACUUUUGCAAAACUUGGGACCUUUAGGUCAAGGCUUGUCCUCCGGAGGAUCAGCGGGCAAAGGAGGAAGUCCACGGCACGGGCAAAGGUCAGGUUCUCAGCGCCAAGGCUUAACGUCAGGUGGAUCUGAGAGCCGAGGAAGGAAGGGCUAUCCUCGAGGCGGCUACCAAGACGAUGACGUCAUGGGACAAAGGAAACGGGGCAAAUAAAGUCCAUUUCACGGCUGCGCCGGAGCCGUCAUCCACUGGACACGAAAUGAUUACCGUAUAUAUAUACACACGCGAAGGGUGCGAGCGUACACUCACUGCCCCCAGUAUCACGAUGGAUCGUUAAGACCAACUCGCUGUAUAUGACGAAUAAAGCUUGUUGUGUAAAAAAAA